rnacentral:rRNA from 1 species
UACCAGCACCCCGAGUGGUCGGGACGUUUAUUGGGCCUAAAGCGUCCGUAGCUGGCCUGUUAGAUGCCUGGGUAAAUCGAUGCGCUCAACGUAUCGAACUCCGGGUAGACCGGCAGGCUCGAGACCGGGAGAGGUGUAGGCUACUCGCGGGGUAGGGGUAAAAUCCUGUAAUCCUGCGGGGAGGACCAGUGGCGAAGGCGCUACACUAGAACGGCUCUGACAGUGAGGGACGAAGCCCUGGGGCGCAAACCGG